GUCAAGACUGGAGGCAGUCUGGGCUGUGGGGAUCACUGGUAGAGUUUGCAGUCCUAAGUGAUAAGGGCCAGGGAAAGAAUAAAGUCAGAACCCUGAAUUUUAAGAAAGUAAAUGAAUUUUAAGAAAGGAAACUUCCAGCUGUCCAAGGAAUUAGUCAGUAGGACUCCCUGAGGAGCUGCCCUCAGCCUAAUAAUACAGGCUGGAGGGUGGAGGGAUUCAGAGAGGCCUUGCUGAGAAGGACUUGGGGGUACUGGUGGGUGACAAGCUGGACACGACAUGGCAAGGUGUGCUUGCAGCACAGAAUGCCAGGAGAUGUAUUUUGAGAUGUAUCAAAUGAAAUGUGACCAGAAGAUUCAGGGAGGUGAUUCACCCUCUCUCUUCCACUCUGAAUAAAGCUUUUCUGGAACCCACACAGAAGACCUCCUCCUUGUCCUUGUGUCCAGCAUGUGCCUGAUCACCAGCCUGUGCUGCAGAGCAUCACCUCCAAGCCACUCCUCAGCUCAUCCUGCUUCUGAGAUUCAAGCACAAUUAGGUUCCAGUCUUGACUGGUGCCUUUGGAAUCCACAGAACAUGAAACUGUGACAUCCAGGACACAGCUUUUCAAGGUCAAAGAGCUGCUAAAACUCAUCCAGCCAUUCUCUUUUUUAAAACAUUCUAGGAGAAGGGAGGGAGCAAAGAAAGGAUCAUAUGGUGAAUGACUAAACCAGGAGAAAAUUCAGACAUUGCACAAGGAAGUGAAGUAAAGGAUGUUCACAUGGAAAAUGAGAAAGAAGCGGAACCUUAAAGUUUGAGGUAAAGGAGGGAAUAACUGAUGUGAAAUCUGAAAGACUGCAAAGUUACCAGCAACCAGAACAAGAUGUGGAAAUCUUAACUAAAAAAAGAGCUAUUAAAAUGUGGAAAGUGCAGACUCCAGACAAGCCAAGAGAAAAAAAGUCACAGCAGAUGGAAAUGUUAUCACCAAAAAUCUUCAAGCUUAUUUUCUCUUAUUAGGAGCCAUUUAUGGCAGUCAACAAGGAAGAGCAGAGGGAGGUCUUCAGGGAAGGAAAAACUGGGUGAGACCCAGCCUGUGUUUCCUCAAGCUCUGAAGCCUUACUGUGAAAAAGGAGGCAGAGUCAUGUCAGUCAUGGGAGGAUGUGACUUUCCACAUGCCCAUACACAGAGGUGCUUUCUGAACUACUGUGGGGCUCAUACAGUUGGAAGUGCACAUUAAAUAAAUGUUCAAAACAUUACUCUUUUAUUAUUAUUCUUUAGAUUUUCAGAGCUUUCAUAAAAAAUGCUGCCAAAACCUACAACAAGGACAGUAUAUUUUUUCUUACAUAAAACUUGGGGUGUUUUACCUUUUGAAGGAUAUAUCACCAAUUCUACAAAUAAUAUAUUUUAAAUACUAUACUAAGAUAGCAUGAAGUUUCCACAGGUGAUUGUUUUCAGUUUGUUUGAGAUCCUUUUUAGAACAAAUGGCAUUCAGAAGAUGCUUUAUCCCAUGGCAGAAGGGAAAACAAGUUAUGGGAAAUGAACUGCAUUUUGGUCCCUGUGACAGUGUUGUGAAAAAUGGGCAACACAGCAGAACUGUGGCCCUCAGCUUUCCCUGAUGGCCCCAGCAACACUGCCAGCUCCUGAUCCUCUGUCAGGAAUUUCACAGCCUGCUUUGAAUGUGCAAGAACCUCAUCUCCUGUCAAUAAAUCCACCAAGGGCACCUUUAUUCAAGCUGUUAGAGGUUUGGAUUUCUACAGAAAACAUAAAUAGCUCCAUGUCCUUCAGUAGUGCAUUCUGUGGAGAUUUGUUUCAGAUAAUUAGGGUGAGGGUGGUCAGGCACUGGAACAGGUUGCCCAGAGAAACUGUGGAUGUUCCAUUGCUGGGAGUGUUCAAGGCCAGGCUGGAUGGGGCUUGGAGGAACUUGGUCUAGUGGAAGGCAUCCGUGCCCAUGGCAGUGGGGUUGGAAAGAGAUGAGCUUUAAGGCGCCUUCCAACUUCCAAAACAUUCUAUGAUUCUGUGAUAAUUAGAAAACAUCAAGCAGUCUGUUAAUUAAAUUCCAGCAGAGUAUGACCCAGCCUUACCUGUCUCACACCCUGUUUCCUCUGGAGCAGCUCUCUGUGAAAUGGGUCAUGGCAUGAAUCCACAACAUUUCAGUGUUAAUAGAGACAGGCUUCUUUUCCCUCCUCCUUAACCCAUCUUACAUUCAAUGUCUUGCAGGGUGUUUUGUAGCUUUAUGAAAUAAAUGCUUUGCUGGCAUGUUUCAUAGUAACAUACAAGUAUAGGUUUUGUGCUUCAUACAAGCCACCACUAUUAAUUUACAUCAGGAAAUUAAUCUGUUUUGUAAAUAUACAAUAAGAUAAAGUCAUUGCUCAAAGUCACUGCAUCCUGAGUAGUCAUAAGAACUACCUAACAGAGAGCUCUUUGGAAAAUAAGGAAUUUGUAGUAAGUUUUCUUAUCCUUUUGAUUCUAGUGUCUAAUGAAAGAAUGGAAAAUUUUCAUUAUGUGUAGAAUCUGGUGAUAGAGUCAGACAUCCUUGGCAAAUUAUGUUUAGUCAGAACAAUGUGCUGUUUUAAAUGUGACAGAGAUACAAACAACAGCUCUCUGCUCAUGGCUGCAGUGCAUUACUGCAGUCAGACCAUCAACCCAAAAAGUGGUUCUUCAUUCCUUUCUGAGGUGUUUAAGAAAAUACAAUAUGUGUAUUUAUACAUAUUUUUCAGUGUUCAGAGUCUUAUGAACAUAUUGAAGCUUUCCAAAAGUCUUUCUGUUGCUGAUUACUUCACUGAGCUACUUUUCUCUCUCUUUCACUGCAAACCAGUCUCAAGAAGGUUUAGCUCAAAAUCUACCCAAGUUGCUCUCUUAUUAUUCUAAAUGGAGAUAACUAGCUCAGACUAAAAUUAUAUUUCACUGAGAAACUUGGAAUAAUUUAUGAGAGAGUUGAAGACUGUGCCAUUACUCAUAUCUGGAGGAGUUUGUGUUUUGAAUUUUGCCAAUUAAAGGUGCCCUUAGAAAUAGCUGAAAGAGGAACGACUUCUGAGGCUUCUGUUGCUUUCUAAUUAUAUCUUGCUCAGAACUCGAAGUCCCACAGCACCCAGCACUAACAGAAGUUAGAAUGGCAUGUACUUCUUAGAGGACUUUCACCAAACAAUUUUUCUGACUUGUACUGAAUUUCUAGGGAUUCCAUAAAUUUGACUAUUCCAUCAAUUCUUCCAUCAUUUUGUGUAGUAAACAGCUUUUGUAAACUUAUACUGGUAUUGUUGUCAGAAAGGUUUUCUGCUCAAAAAACAAUGCUUCACUGCUUUUUAAUAUCAUUUGCUUGUUUCUAAUCAUCUGUCUUUAAUUGUAUUUUUAGCUGUCUGAGCUCUCUUUUGGGCCUUUUACUUAGUCACACUCAUUCUGUUAUUAUUAAGUAAUUUCUGGCUCCCAGUAAGUUUUGCUGUUCUUUGAAUAAACACAAAAGGUUCAAUAGUAGUUUUACUGAUGCAGGAAUGGUAGAGAAGAAGAAUCAGCUAUUUUUGUGUUGGAGAUACCAACUGAAUUUGACUGAAUUUUCCAUAUAUCAAAAUGUUCUUGUUAUAUCUGAAGGGCAUCCCACAUCCAAAGGAAAGUUCCUCUGAAGUCAUAUCCAGGCAGGGUAGGAGAUGGGAGUUUGUGUUGCUGGAGUUGCCAUCACCAGUUCUCAUCCUCUGGGAUCGUUCACCAGACAUUAGAGCCUAGGGCAGCCUUUGAGGUGCUCUCAGAGCAUGGCAAAGGAAGGACCCUGCUGGAUCCACUCUCCUGCACAUCUUUCUGUUCCAGCAGUUGGUACUUGCUUAAUAGGAGAAAAAUAUGCUUUGAAUAUUCCCGCUUCAGUCAACGAAUACAUUUAAAUGGAGGAGAGUUCCACUCUGCUUCUUCAGUGAAUAUUCCUCCCUUCACAUGUUUGAGUAGCUACAACUUCCCUACAAGUAACUCACUGUAUUUGCUUUUCCAUGUAUCUUCCACCAUUGUUAUUUCCUUUGGCUUGGCAAUGUUAUGGCAUUUUAUUUGAGGAACUUGUUUUAGGCCUCAGCUCCUGCAGGUUGAAAUAUCAACACAGACAUAGGCCAGAGUCCCAAAGGAGUACCUAGGAUUACCAAAACAUUAAAUUUCCAUAGAUGAUAGCUCUAUAACCAGAGUAUAUGGGUCACAUCUUCUCCUUGGCUCUCUCUGUUGCAUAAAUACAAACCACUAGGGAACAUUGUAUGUUCAAGGUGAUAUUUGUCUUCUCAUUUAAUUGGCAGCACACAUGGUAUCUGUCACAUGGAAACAACAGCACUGCUAAGCCCCAGCAGGAAAGGGACUGUUUCAUUGUGUGGUGUUGGUCAGUCAAUGGAACAAUUCAAAAUUACAUUUAUUUCUGGAUGCUUGUUCUUCAACAAACAGGUAACUGCAGUAUUUCAGGUAUUUCCACCCAGCACAAACUCCUCACACAUACAAAUCCCAUCUGGCUGGAGGCUUCACUGUGAAGGCAGCAUAACUUCAUGGAUUUUACAGCAACAUUCCAGGCUGACAGGUAGGUUGCUGGGAGCUGAACAUAACUUCUGAUCUCUUGCUGACCAGGUAGAUGUUCAGUCUCAGUUCCAUUGCUUCUUCCUUUCACAAGCGCAUGAUUCCCCUGGGUAUUUCAUUAUGGAGUUCUAGGGGAAAAAGAAAAAAAAAAAAAAGCAUGCCAGAGAAAAGCAGAACAUUUAUAAUUUAAGAAUAAAUAAUAAAGUUGCUGGAGGGUAAAACAAAACCAUGAAAGUUAUUAACUAUGGUAGUAAUGUCUUUUUAAAAUGGUAAUGAAAAGCAUUCUGCUCUGAAAUAAAAUUAUUAAAUAAAGGCUCAAAUAACAUUUUCAAUCAGACCAACACAACUGCUAUUACCUAACUUGCCCAGAGUUUACCUGAGGACCUGGUAUUUUGCAUUCUGGCAGACUCAAAGUUCAUGGACAUCAUCUGAUGCUCUGCUCUGACCAUUGGUUUUGACAGAGUCAGAAUAAAAUUUUUCUAAAAGGAUGAGCAAACCUAUUAAACACAGAGUGGGGACUGAAACUGGGAGUGGAUGGUGUUUUAUAAAAUGGUUCUGUACUGGUUGCAGUAGGUUCAGUCCUUGUUUUAACACUGUUAGAAGGGAGCAGGAUCUGGUCUUUUGCCCUGGAUUUUGUUGCAGGGCAACACCAAGUAUGGGUUUAUUCAUCCUCUAAGAGGCAUCAAAGAAGUGCAGCACCACUAUUUGUUGUCUUUGGCGAGGUUUUGCCUCUAAUUUUACAUGCAUGGUUGGUGUGGGAUGGUGCCUUGUCCCAUUCGUGUCCUGUGCUGCCCCAGUUCUUUGUGUGGGACAAUCAUGGGGGUUUGCUGGUGCUUAUGGUGUCCUUCAUGUUUUUCAACAGGUUAAAGCCAAGUGGAAGCAUCUUUAUAUGUGUAUUAGUACCUGGACUGAAGCUGGGUCAUCUUGGGCUUCUGCAUUUUGUUGUCUCCAUGUUCUGAGUAAGUCCAACAGGAUGUAGGUUACAAAAGAAAGGAGGGAAAAGGUGCAAAGAGAGCUCUUGUGGCUUCAGCUAGUUCUGGGCAUUUGGAACAGCACAUUUGGGCUUGGCAUUGUCUGAUUUUCUCCCUAUAAUCCAGUCUCCCUCCUCUCUUGCAGUAAUUUGGAUUAUGGUCUUUUUUUCCCCCCAUCCAAUCCCCUCACUGUUUUGAUUUUUAGUUUUUGUGCUUUUUUUUUGUUUGUUUUGGUGGGUUUUUUUAUUGAUUUUUUUUUUUUUCUUAUUGAAGGGAUAAUUUAGCUCAAAUUCUUGAAGCAAAGAUUAAUCCAGUUUUUAAGAACUCACAGGUGUCUGUUUUUAAGAAACACAGGGGGGCCAUAUGUUUGCACAGUAGAGAAAGUCUCCAAGCAGAUGUUGCUGCUCCUCCAGAAAUGUGCAUGGAUAUUGAGAAGUGUAUUCUCUUUGUAGCUUCCUCCUAAAAGGCAACUGCUAAGUAAGGUGCCCUUAACUGUAGGCUUUUAGUAGCCAAAACCAUAAA